rnacentral:rRNA from 1 species
CCUACGGGUGGCUGCAGUGGGAAAUUUUGCGCAAUGGGGGAAACUCUGACGCAGCAACGCCGCGUGCGGGACGAAGGCCCUCGGGUUGUAAACCGCUUUCAGCAGGGAAGAUCCAAGACGGUACCUGCAGAAUAAGCUUCGGCUAACUACGUGCCAGCAGCCGCGGUAAUACGUAGGGGGCGAGCGUUAUCCGGGUUCAUUGGGCGUAAGGCGCGCGUAGGCGGCCGCCUAAGCGGGACCUCUAACCCCGGGGCUAAACCCCGGGUCGGGUCCCGGACUGGGCGGCUGGAGUGCAGUAGAGGAGAGCGGAAUUCCCGGUGUAGCGGUGGAAUGCGCAGAUAUCGGGAAGAACACCGAUGGCGAAGGCAGCUCUCUGGGCCGUAACUGACGCUGAGGCGCGAAAGCUGGGGGAGCGAACAGGAUUAGAUACCCCAGUAGUC